CCUACGGGUGGCAGCAGUGAGGAAUAUUGGUCAAUGGGCGCGAGCCUGAACCAGCCAAGUAGCGUGAAGGAUGCCUGCCCUACGGGUUGUAAACUUCUUUUAUAAAGGAAUAAAGUGAGGCACGUGUGCCUUUUUGUAUGUACUUUAUGAAUAAGGAUCGGCUAACUCCGUGCCAUCAGCCGCGGUAAUACGGAGGAUCCGAGCGGUAUCCGGAUUUAUUUGGUUUAAAGGGUGCGUAGGCGGAGCGUUAAGUCCGUGGUAAAAUUAAGGGGCUCAACCCCUUCCCGCCAUUGAAACUGGCGCUCGUGAGUGGAAGAGAAGUAUGCGGAAUGCGUGGGGUAGCGGUGAAAUGCAUAGAUAGCACGCAGAACCCCGAUUGCGAAGGCAGCAUGCCGGAUUCCGACUGACGCUGAAGCACGAAAGCGUGGGGAUCGAACAGGAUUAGAUACCCUGGUAGUC
rnacentral:rRNA from 1 species